rnacentral:rRNA from 1 species
AGAGACAGCAGUCGCCGCGGUAAUACAGAGGGUGCGAGCGUUAAUCGGAUUUACUGGGCGUAAGCGUGCGUAGGCGGCUUCUUAAGUCGGAUGUGAAAUCCCUGAGCUUAACUUAGGAAUUGCAUUCGAUACUGGGAAGCUAGAGUAUGGGAGAGGAUGGUAGAAUUCCAGGUGUAGCGGUGAAAUGCGUAGAGAUCUGGAGGAAUACCGAUGGCGAAGGCAGCCAUCUGGCCUAAUACUGACGCUGAGGUACGAAAGCAUGGGGAGCAAACAGGAUUAGAUACCCGUGUAGUCCCUGUCUCUUAUACA